CCGCUAUUUUAAUGUCAGUCAAUAUCUGUAUAAUUAUAAAUUUUUCUCAAAGUGUUCAACAUACUUUUGGUCAAGGAUUCAAAUUUAAUGGAAUGCGCACAACUUAUAUGAACUCUAUAGCAACAUCAAAUUCGAUUUUUAAAUGGAAACAGGCAGUUAAUAUCAACCUAAUAAUAAUUGCAAGCAAAUCAUGUAACCAGAUGUUGCUCGCUAUUACUGGCUGUACAUCGCAAGGAGCAAUAUCUUUUCAUAAACAUCAUUUAUAAAAGCCAUAGCAUACAAGCUUUAUUAAUUCCAUUUCAAAUGGAAAGACCCC
rnacentral:lncRNA from 1 species